UGCUGAUUGCAUGGAGGAGUAUUUAAGCAGGAGGCUGCCAGCACUUCGAUGCCAAAGUGUUUGUCUUCCGUGGAAACAGCUCAGCCACUUCUAAGCUAUGCUUCGUUCUGUGUCUCUAAGCUGAUGUUGUUUAUGUUCCUUCACAGGCAGAAACCUGAGCUCACUGAUCAUUCUUCGUUGAACUUUGACUUCGGUUCCAGAAGUUUCUGGACGAUGUUUGGUGGAUUUCGUUUGGAUUUUGUUUCUGAUUAAAAAGCUGGCAGCUUCCUGUUCUCCUCCGUCUCCUGAACCAAGGCAGAAGCGUAACCUGUCCACCCUCCCACACAAGUACUUGAACAUUGAAUUAACUCCUGAACUCACCAGAACUCAUUCUACAGCUCAAGUAAAACCAUCUGGCUUUCUCCUCUUCGCAUACCUGGGUCCCGACUCCCUCUACCCCUGGUGACCUGACUACACUCACUUAUUGGCGAUUCUACCCUUUCACGUUCCAGUUUCACUUCUUGUAAAUAAAACACCUUUUACUGA